rnacentral:rRNA from 1 species
AUGGAAAUGCUUACUGUUUUACCGUUGAUCUCGCUCGUUGUAGCAGUAGUAUGCCUAAUACGAGCAAUAGUCAUGGUAAUCAAGUCGGCCAGAACAACAGCCGGCGAGGCGCCUCUCCCACCAGGCCCGUCCAAGCUCCCGCUGAUCGGCAGCAUUCACCACCUGGCCACCGGCGAGCUCCCACACCACGCCAUCACUCGCCUCGGCCGCGAGCACGGCCCGUUGAUGCACCUGCAGAUGGGGCAGGUCGGCCUCGUCGUCGUCUCGUCCCGCGAGGCGGCCAGGGAGGUCAUGAAGGUGCAGGACGCAAACUUCGCCCACCGCCCGGAGCUAGCCGGGCCCAAAGCUCUUCUGUACGGCUGCGCCGACGUCGCCUUCUCCUCCGGCGGCCCCUCCUGGCGCCGGCUGCGCAAGGUGUGCGUCGUCAAGCUCCUUUGCGCGAACCGGGUCAGGUCUUUCGCUCCCAUACGGAGGGAGGAAACACGCCGUCUCCUGGAGAGCAUCGCCGGACACUGUCCGGGCAAGGCCAUCGACCUCCGGGCCAUGGUCGAGGCCUUCAGCAGCGCCAUCGUGAGCAGGACGGCAUUGAGCGAGACGUUCGAGCACAGAGGCUCCAUCUUAAAGAAGGGCCUGGAACUGGCGUCGGGGUUCAACCUGUCGGACCAUUUCCCGUCGUUGAGCUUCCUCAACGUUCUGAUGAGGCACCGGCUGCGACGGGUGCACCGUCAGGUCGACAAGCUACUCGAAGACAUCAUUGAGGAGCGCAAGCGGCUUCGGCAGAAGAAGAUGAAGGACACAACAGAGGACAUGGUAGAUGUGCUUCUCGACGCCAUGGAGCAUCCAGCAGGCACGGACGUGCCCAUUACACACGACAACAUCAAAGCUGUCAUAAUGGAUAUGUUUGCCGGAGGCACAGAGACAUCAUCGUCAACGAUAGAGUGGGCGCUCGCAGAGCUCAUGAAGAACCCUAAGGAAAUGACCAAAGUACAGGACGAGGUGAGGAUAAAAAUGGAAGGAGAGGCACGUUGGUGCGACAUCGGGCAGCUCAACUACCUCCGGCUUGUCGUCAAGGAGACGCUGCGGCUGCACAUGCCGGCGCCUCUUCUAGUUCCCAGGGUCUGCAAGGAGCGGUGCCCUCUCGGUGGCUACACGAUUCAGGCCGGGAGCAGGGUGGUCAUCAACGCUUGGGCCAUGGGCAGGGACCCGAGGUACUGGAAGGACGCCGAGGCGUUCCGUCCCGGGAGAUUCCUUGGCACAAGCGUCGACUUCAAGGGAGGCGACUUUGAGUUCCUGCCGUUCGGUGCCGGCCGGAGAAUGUGCCGGGGGAUAGAGUUUGGGCUCGCCGGCGUCGAGCUUUGCUUGGCGCAACUCCUGUUCUAUUUUGACUGGACGCUUCCUGGUGGCAUGGCGCCUGAAGACCUCGACAUGAGCGAGAAAUCAUUCGGUGUUUUGUCGGUAGUCCGAAAGGAGCCACUUCGGUUGAUCCCCAGCAUACACGCUCCACUUCACCUCAAGUAUUGA